rnacentral:rRNA from 1 species
UACGAAGGGGGCUAGCGUUGCUCGGAAUCGCUGGGCGUAAAGCGCACGUAGGCGGAUUGUUAAGUCAGGGGUGAAAUCCUGGAGCUCAACUCCAGAACUGCCUUUGAUACUGGCUAUCUUGAGUCCGGGAGAGGUGAGUGGAACUCCGAGUGUAGAGGUGAAAUUCGUAGAUAUUCGGAAGAACACCAGUGGCGAAGGCGGCUCACUGGCCCGGUACUGACGCUGAUGUGCGAAAGCGUGGGGAGCAAACAGG